GUGCUUGCUUUGGCAGCACAUAUACUAAAAUUGGAACGAUACAGAGAUUAGCAUGGCCCCAGCGCAAGGAUGACACACAGAUUCGCGAUGCAUUCCAUAUUCUU
ensembl:snRNA RNU6-1104P RNA, U6 small nuclear 1104, pseudogene